CCUACGGGAGGCAGCAGUGAGGAAUAUUGGUCAAUGGACGAGAGUCUGAACCAGCCAAGUAGCGUGAAGGAUGACUGCCCUAUGGGUUGUAAACUUCUUUUAUAUGGGAAUAAAAUGUUCCACGUGUGGGAUUUUGUAUGUACCUUAUGAAUAAGGAUCGGCUAACUCCGUGCCAGCAGCCGCGGUAAUACGGAGGAUCCGAGCGUUAUCCGGAUUUAUUGGGUUUAAAGGGAGCGUAGGUGGAUUUUUAAGGCAGUUGUGAAAGUUGGCGGCUCAACCGUACAAUUGCAGUUGAAACUGGCAGUCUUGAGUACAGUAGAGGUAGGCGGAAUGCGUGGUGUAGCGGUGAAAUGCAUAGAUAUCACGAAGAACUCCGAUUGCGAAGGCAGCUCACUGGAGUGCAACUGACGCUGAGGCACGAAAGUGUGGGUAUCGAACAGGAUUAGAUACCCUUGUAGUC
rnacentral:rRNA from 1 species